rnacentral:rRNA from 1 species
AUGGUUCCUUUGGUCGCUCCUCUCCCGUUACUUGGAUAACUGUGGUAAUUCUAGAGCUAAUACAUGCCGACGAGCGCCGACCUCCGGGGACGCGUGCAUUUAUCAGACCAAAACCAACCCGGGCCCGCCCGGCAGCUUUGGUGACUCUAGAUAACCUCGAGCCGAUCGCACGCCCCCGCGGCGGCGACGACCCAUUCGAAUGUCUGCCCUAUCAACUUUCGAUGGUACUGUCUGUGCCUACCAUGGUGACCACGGGUGACGGGGAAUCAGGGUUCGAUUCCGGAGAGGGAGCC